GCAGCCACUAAAGCCUCUUCUGUCGACAUUCCUCUUGGUUUUAAAUAUACUGGUACAAAGGCAGCGACAGAAGGAGCAGGGGGGCCCGAUGAUGGACCUCUCCUGGAUUAUUGCCAAGUCUUCCCAGACCUUAAUGUUUUGCCGGCAGUUGACUGGUCUGUUUUUCCUCUUCCAUUUACCAUAACACUUAAAAGAUUCAAGGUCAGUCCCAGAGUCUCACGGUUUUUAACUUGCAGCUGGAAAUUCCCCUAGCCCAGCUCUUGUAAAGCAACCGGUUUCAAAGGCUUCCACUGGGAGAAACAGUUUCUCUUUGUAAUAGUCAAUAGUAUCCUCUUUUAAACAAUCCAAAAUUAGUUUCAAAUUAGUUUCAAUUUUCAGUUACUUUUACUCCUUUUUAAAGCAGCCGGGGACAGUAGAAACAAUGUAUUUCUCUUGUUUAACUAGCUGUCAAUGAACGUUCUAAACACUGUCAAUGAACAUUCCAAAAGACAUCAGUCCUGCUCGCAGCCCGUUUCCAGGGUCAGAGCGGCAGUGUUUUAAAUCUCUUCGCUCUCUCCCACAGGUAUACUCAAUCCGCAACUUCCCCCUCUCUUCUCCUGCCUCCAAGAGGGGGUUUAAUGUUCUUUACCAAUGGAAAUUUAAUCUUUUACAAAAGACUUUCCAGGACUCCAGCUUGCAACUUCAUUGCCUCAGUCUAUUUACAAAAGGGAAGGCGGACUUCCUGUUUUGAACCUCCCGUUACGGUACCAAAUUAAACAUUUAGAAAUCCAAUUCUUCCGCUUCAGCUGUACUCACGGGUAAUUACUUUAAAGUCAAAUUGUCCACAGGAAAAGGUCAGCGCUCUCCGGCAACAGCUAUGCGGCUUCGCUCCGUGGAAGAAGCAGACGAUUCGAUGCACCGUGCCACUCACCCCACGUCGCUCCGGAGCCCCAAAAACCAGGGUUCCCCGCGAGUGGGGGAGGCGCAGAAGGUGCCCGCCGAAUCCCACGUUCACAGGCUUCUCCUGCCUGUGAUUUUAACGGGUCUCCGCCUUCGCCGUGGCGGCCAGACCCAGAUUUCCACGGAGCAGAUUCCUCCCGGUCAGAGGAAUUCCGCCAUUACCGGAGGCACCUCCCCGGAAGUCAAGGUUCUGUUCUCUCCCCCAUGCUUUUUAACAUCUAUAUGAAGCUGCUGGGAGAGAUCAUCAGGGGGUUUGGGCUGGUUGUUCAUCAAUAUGUGGAUGAUACCCAGCUGUACCUAUCUUUUAAAUCAUAACUAGUGAAGGUGGUGAAGGUCCUGUGUGAGUGUCUGGAGGCAGUUGGAGGAUGGAUGGCGGCUAACAGAUUGAGGUUGAAUCCUGACAAGACAGAAGUACUGUUUUUUUUUGGGGGGGGGGUCCAGCGCUGAGGGCCUUCUGGCAGUUUCCUCACUGUGCCGUGGUGUUUUAGAAUUUGGCUUUAUUGGCAUUGCAUCUGGGCAGGUGAGAGUAUUAAUAAAUGCUUGUGUUAAUAUCCUGUGUGUUUAUCAAGCAGAUCCCAGUAAAUAGGUGGGGGCUGCCUUUCACUUGGUGCAUCCCUGAUUGAGCAGGCCUAGCCUAGGGACAGGGUGAGGCUGCCCUUCAAUUGCUGCUCAGCACUCUGCAGGGAGAAGGAGCCUCUGCCUUUCCCAAAUGCUCCGGCUGCCGUUUUGCAGAAAUACUGGGCAAAGCUCUGGUGGCGGCUUUUUGAUCACAGAGGAACAUGUGCUAUGCGCACCAUCCUUCUUUUUUAGAUGCUGCAGAGGGACCAGGGCCAGCUGAUGGAGGAGGAAGAGUAGCAUCACUCCCACUGGUCCGCUCCAUCCUGCCUGCUUUCAGCAGAAGCCGCAAGGAAGGCUCUUUGCCCAGGCAAGUGUGCCUGCCUCACACUUUUCAGGGCAGAAACAGCACAACCCAUGAGCCAAGGGGCCAGCCAGUGUCCAGGGGCAAGGACUGAAGGGGAAGUCAGGAGGACCAACUCCAUGGACAAACAGUAAUGCAGGAUCAAGCAACAAGCCAAAAUCAGGACUGAAGUAACUUUAGGCUAGACCAACAAGCAGAAAAGAGACAAAGAGUAGACCAGAAGUCCUUUGGGGUUUUUCCUGUAACCUGGUUAAAGAAUAAGAGGACCGUUCUCUAGGUGCCUAGAUCCACACUGGGGGCAAGUAUUAUUAUUAUUAUUAUACCCCACCCAUCUGGCUGGACUUCCCCAGCCACUCUGGGCGGCUUCCAGCAAAAUAUUAAAAUACAGUAAUGCAUCAAACAUCAAAAGCUUCCCUAAACAGGGCUGCCUUCAGAUGUCUUCUAAAAGUUUGGUAGUUGUUCUCUUUGACAUCUGGUGGGAGUGUGUUCCACAGGGUGGGUCCCACUACUGAGAAGGCCCUUUGCCUGGUUCCCUGUAACUUGGCUUCUUGCAGUGAGGGAACCGCCAGAAGGCCCUUGGCGCUGGACCUCAGUGUCCAGGUAGAACGAUGGGGGUGGAGACGCUCCUUCAAGUAUACUGGGGCGAGGCUGUUUAGGGCUUUAAAGGUCAGCACCAACACUUUGAAUUGUGCUCAGAAACGUACUCUUUGGUAAGAGAGCCCUAACAGAGAUUUAAAAUCAUAAAACAUGCAGCAAAUUAAAGCAUGGAAAUAGCCUGUUACACCUUUAAAAUAUGCCCUUCUAAGUCUUUUCCAAAGUUUCCCACUUCCUUUAGCAUAGAAAGAGACCACGUGUUUAGCAAGUUAAAAACAGUUUACUUACAAACUCUUCCAAGGUCAGAUUCAUGUGCUUUUCCAUACAGCAGCAAGAAAAGACAGACAGUGCAACUUAGUUUAAAAAAUGGUAAGAGUUUCUAAAUUAUUUGUAUAGAAACACAAAGAUGGCUUGCUGAAGACACAUGGUUUUGGAACAUCCAGCUAUGACAUCCUUUCUAGGGUGGAAGUACAUAUGGAGGAAGUAAGGUGGAAAGUGGGAGAACAAAGAGUUUGGUAGCUCUGCCUCACAAGGUGAGGGAUGGUGACCUAGCUAAGACUGGCAGGACAGCUUACACUGUGGUCUUAACCCCUUUAUGCAUUAAUUUGAGUUAAGCAUGUUGGCUAUAUACAAAGUCAGGGAUGAAGAAUAAGCCAAGAGGAAGGACCAAAGAACAACCAAUGAUACAGGAGAGAUCUCAAGAAGCCUUUGUUGCACCAGCAAAGCUCAGCUGGACCAGGAAGUCCUCUUAUGUACUAUUUCCUGCCCAGGAGCAUCCAAUGGCCAGCCUGAGUGGGUGGAACCAGCCCAGGUCCUGAAGGUAGUUGACUAAGAAGGCUGCCACCUGCAGUUCAGUGAUUCACUAUACCAGGGGCUGCACGUGAAUGAAUCCACCAUCUCCAACAGUGAACUAGGUGGAUGGGAAGUAAGCAAAUAAACGUCUACACCAGGCUCUUCUGACCAGAAGAGUGUUCAGGGCAGUUUUAGAAUGAGAAACACAAAAGAGAAAAUAGAUGUCAAGAAGAGAGAGCAAAAGCUCACAUUAAAAAUACUAUCAAAGGUAGAAAUCCAAAAGCAGCAUGAAAAAUGGGAGGGGAAAUGGAAUGGAGUAUCAUGGGAGAGGGCAUGGUUGGUUGUCCGGCCCCAUGAGCAAGAGGGCGCCACGUGGAAAGGUUUCAAUGCAGCUCCCACCUGCAAGAUCUCACUGAAAAGCAACUCCCAAGCAGAUGUGUGCAAAUGGCACCUUUGCUUUGAGUUAUUCUUACUAGAGAUGGAUGCAUUGUCCACAGAGAGAAACCCCCUUCCCACACAGACCCUUAUUUUGAGGCAGUCAAUCUUACUUUAUAGCCAUCAAAUUGACCAAGUUGCUUCAAUACUGGAGAAAGUCGUAACAUAAAUUUUGUUUGUAAGAUACAUGAUGCACAUCACCGAUGGAACUGAGCUGCAGGAUAAAGUAGAUCUUGUUCCCUAAUCCACUUGGACAAUAGGAACAGAGACACAGAGUGAGAAAAGGCAGAGCAUCUGCCACUAAUAACAACAACUGAGUUUUGAUUGUGUUGUGUCCCAGGCACGACCUUGACAAUCCUGACUGUCUUAUCGCAGUCCUGUUCCAUGUUCAUCCAGGAUGUUUCCAUUCUACAGUAAUGUGGUUUUCAAAAUAAUUAUUGUGGAAUGGACACUUUUAGAUGAACUCAUUAAAUUGAAGUUACAUUGCAGUGUGGGCUAUGCUGCAUUUACUCAUGGAGAAGCAGUGGAUCCGUUCCAGGUAUAUAUGUUGAAAAUACAUUUAAUAUUAUUAUUUUGGGGGUGGGGGUGAUAUUCUUAAAACAAAAUUUUUUUUAGGUAUGGGUUGUAUCCAAGUAAACUCUACUCAGAGUGGACCCAUUGAAAUUAAUGGACCUCUCGUAGUUGUGUCUUUUCAAUUUCAGUGAGUCUGCUCUGAGUAUGAUUAACAAUGCAUACAACCCUAUAUUCUACUCCUACAUUGCUGGAAGUAAACACUACAAAACCAAUGCUGCAAUGCGCCCUUGAUGAAAUUUCCAUGCGUAAUUAAGAUACAUGUACAACAGUGAAAGCUGAACCCUGUCCCCAAGAUACAGUGAUUUCUCAGUGGCCAAAAUACAGAUGCACAACCAUAGAAUCAAGUGUCAGCACUGAUAAUAUCCCACUUCAUUUGCUGCAAGGCUAUGCUGUGGGUGGAGGAAACGAUCCCGGUUGGCCUAUCAAUACAGGCAAGUCCAAAGCAACUAGAAACCUCUCUGGCCUUGCUGUUUUUCUCCCAUCUCUGAAAUGAAGUGGCUUUUCUUGCUUAUCUCUGUCUGGAAAUAUUGCCUUAAAAUCAAAAGUGGAAACCCUUACCAAUAUUUUUGAGGUGCACCCUGGAGCAUAGAAUUCUAAAUAUAAAAUGGUCUUGUGAAGUUCCAGCUUAUGAAUAUUCACUUGUUGAAUUUGCAUUUUGUUUUUCAUCUCCACCAGCUAUUAGAACACUGCUUGUUGCAGGCUUAGAACACCCUUCCCAGCUGUCUGAUCAAACUUUAAAAUGGAUGGAUGGAUAGAUUUGGAGCAAAGCAGCCCCUCAUUGUUUCCUGAUGCGGACGCCCAUCUUUUGGGAAUUUUUCCAGGAGGCAGCUUCAAAGACAGCCCAGCGAUGGCAGCAAACAGAAUCCCACAGCCAGCAAGCAAAAUGGGAAACAUUUCAGAGUUUCUUUCCACCUCAUAAUUCUUCCAAGACAUUUCUCCAGAGCUGAAUCCCACCUUGGGACUCACCUUUUAAUUUGCAGACUUUAAUCCAGGUCAAGAGCUAAUGUAGUUAGAGCAGCCUAUCCCUGACCGGUUGGUUCCCAGAUGUCCUUGGACUUAACUGUGGUUAAGGCUGCCUGCCUGGGAAUUCUUAGUAAGGCUCAUUGGCAGAACAUCCCCCUUGCAUGUUGAAGGCAGUGGUAGAGACAGGCAAUGUGAAUACUAUUAAAUUUACUAGUCACGUUGUUUUUCCCCACAGGCAACUCAAAGCAACUUAUAAAAAGAAAAAGAAAAUACAUAUAUUUUAAAACCAGGAGAAAAAUACAUUAAAACAUCUCACCCACACUAAAAGGCCCUGGAUCAGUAGAAGCCAAAGGCCUGCUUAAAAAUGAAUGUUUUUGCCUGGCGCACGAAAAUAUUGUAUAUUAGAAGAUAGCAUGAUUAUGAUAAACUACAAAAUACCUGAUUUUCUGUUGCUAACUGGGAAAAGAUUACUCAAACUGAAUGAAACAUGAUUCCAUCAAUGGCAGGAGGAGCUUUUCACAGAGUCUUUGAUGUCAAGUUGAUUCUGGGUGGUAGGCUCUCUUCUCUCUAAUAUCCUGUCUUGUCAGUUUCUUUUGCAGUUCCCUGACCCAACAUCACGUGGCAGUUAAUGGAAGAGAGUUGAUGCACUUGCUGCAGAAAGGUUUUGAGACAGUGGAGUCUAAUUAAAGUGAGACUUUCCUUCGAAUAAAUCAAAACCCUCAACAGGGGGAGCAAAUUUCCUUUGCCUGCGAGGAAAACAGGCUGAUUUGUUGAUCCCCUUCAGAUGGAGAAGGAAGAUGGAACGAUACCUCUGGGCUUGUUCUAGCCAGCCAAACAGAGGAACUCCUAAAAGCUAUGGAUUGUAUUCAGUUUCACUUGGAGAAGGAACACUGAAAUUGAUAGUCCUAACUUACGGGUAAGGUUUACACUGACUACAACUCUGUAUUUGUUCUCUUGCAUUAUUGUACAACAAAGAGAAUAUAUUUACCAAACCCAAAUCUGCUUGGGCUGCUGUGCAUCUCACAGUGAUCCACCAUCAUUCUGCAGAGGGCGAUUUCAUUUACAGAACUUCUGCACCCACCCACAGAGCAGCUGGCUACCCUGUGAAAAAGAACUUUUUUACAACCUUACCUAAGGGCUGCAUUUCCUCGAAGCAAGUGGGAGGAGCAACGGAUGCUACUCAUCCCUGUGGUCCAUGCCAGAACUUUCUACACACAGAGAGACUCGGAUCCCAAGCAUUGUCACUGCCCAAGGACGCAGUCCAGCUGGCCAAAGCACAGGAGGAGGGUGUGCCUUGCAUGUGGCCUCAUCAGAGUCCCAAGGGUCUGGAGGACCCAAGCCUACUGUGUGGAGAGGGAAGGGACAGAGAGCUUUGGGUGCCUGCCCUGCUGACCAGGCAGGAUCAGAACCUCCUCAGACCUUCUGAGUCAGUGAAAGGGCUUCACGAGGAAAUGGCGCUUGCCUUGUCACACAGCCGGCCAUUACAAGCUUGACAAAUUUGCAUGCCAAACCAGCAACAUCCCUAAUGUAGGGAGGGACUUGCUCCAGCGUCUACAGGCACAUGUGGGCUCAUUUGCAACAGCAGCGGGCCAGAUAAUCAUAGUUUAUGAAGCAACCUUGAGCUGGCUGGAUCUCUGCCGACGCUCUUAUCUGUCAUGUUCCCUUCUGACUCAUAGUGCUUUUCUACAUUAGUGAGUGAAAUGAAGCUCCUGCAGCAAUAAACAGAAAGAUCACAUACCUGCUUUGAAGUUGCCGUUUUAAAUAACCUCCCAGGGCUGUGCUAAUGCAGGGAGGGGAGAGGAAGCCUUCGCCUCCCCACCUCCAGACUUGCAUUUCCAAUCAGGCAAUGAAAAUGAAAAAGGCUCCUUUAGCUGCAUCCCACAGCGAGAGCCAUGACAACGCUUUUCAAGCCAAUGCACCCGGUGAUGAAUGACGCUUGGUUAGAACUCACUUCCCGAGUCAGCAUCUCGUCAUUCACAAAGCACAAUUUAUUAACCUAUAAACACGGUGUAAGCGCGGCAAGAGUUAUUUUAAUUUGUAAUUUUCAAGACUCCUUGGAGGAGGCUGGCUGGCUGGAUUUUCUCCACUCAGUUACCCUGUGCAAAGACCUUCUCUGUCCACUAGGGGAGGGGGAUGUUCAAUUUUUAAAAUAACUUUCUAAAAUUAUAGUUUAAAGUUGGAUUUUUGGGGCAGUGUUUUAAGGUAAUCUUUCAAAAUAGUAGUUUUUAAAAAGGAAGUACAAAUACCUGGAUAUAUUUGUAUCUUCUGAACAAACCGCAUUUACUAUACAUUUUGGAAAGUGGCUUGUCUGCUCUCUAUAUGUUCGGACACCUCUUGAGAUAUCAUUUCCAAACUCUGCAUGAAGGUUCCUGAGAAGUGGGUCGAGGUCAUCAUCAAAGUUUGGACACCAGGCGCCAUUUUGAUUCAACAUGGCAAACCAAAAUGUGACUUCACCAUUAUUUUUGGCAUGGGUUUGGUUACCUCUCAAAACUUCAUGGCCAAACUGGGCACAAGGAUUUCCAAGCUGGGGGUGGCAGUCUUCAUCGAUGUUCAGCUACCAGGCACCAUUUUAAAUCAAGACUGCAGACCAAAAUGUGACUUGAGUGUGAAAUCAUCUGAUUUUUGGCAUCACAGGUCAAAACUCACAAAUUAUAUGAUCCAUGUAAAAAUCACAAUAUUUGUUGGUUUCUUAAAUUUCUCAGAUAGUGCUGAGUACUCCCUGCUAAUUUAAUUAUGCUCUCAAAUAAGAGUUGGACCACUGCCUUUUGUUUUUUGAAGUUGGAUGUUUAUUUUUAAAAAACAAAUCUCAUUUCUUUUCUUAUAUUAUGGAGUUUGGUGGAUCAGAGAAAUGCUGUGGAGAUAGUGUAUCUUGAUUUUAAGUAAGGCUUUUGACAAAGUCCCCCAUAGUAUUCUUGCAGGGAAGCUUGUAAAAUGUGGGUUGAAUGAGGUAACUGUUAGGUGGAUUUGUAGUUGGUGGACUGACCGAACCCAAAGAGGACUCAUGAAUGGUUCCUCGUCAUCCUGGAAAAAAGUGACAAGUGGGGUGUCGAAAGGUUGUGACCUGGGCCUGUUGUUGUUCAACGUCUUUUCAACUUGGAUGAAAGAAUUGAGGGAAUGCUCAUCCAAUUUGCAGAUGACAGCAAACGGGGGGGGGGGGGGGUAGCUAAUGCUGCAGAAGACAGAGUCAGAAUUUGAAAUGACCUUAACAGAUUGGAGAACUGGGUGCAAGCUAACAAAAUGAAUUUCAAUAUGGACAAAUGUCAGGUUCUGCUGUGUCCUAUGGGUACAAGAGGGGGCCAAUGCCACUGAAGAUUGUGGGGAAUGCCAUGCCUACUACAAGGCAGUUUCCUAUGCAGUUUCUUUGGUUUUUACUUGGUGAAACCAUCUCAAAGCUCGCUUUAUCCAUGGGCCUGUUUGCUCUCCUCUUUGACCCGCAUGACUGUGAGUCCACAUUAUAGGAAUCAGAAGGAGAUAUCCCCCUCUGAUUUUGCUGGAAGGAAAAAAAAAGUGUGAGAGCCAUUAAGAGGGGGCCACCAGGUGGCGCAUUGGAAGAUGGCCGACAAUAACAUCUCUCCGACCCAUACGAGGUAAUUAAGAGGCUGCUAUGGGAAGUAUGCAGCCUUCCCGCCCCCCCCCCCAAGGAGAUGGGGGGGACUGCCUUGCCAGCGGUGUCCAUAACGCACCCCCGGAUUCAAAAGAAGGGGGCACCGGUCACUUGGCACAAGCCCUCAAUGAGGUCAGCGCUUCCUGACGCUGUCUCCAAUCAGCGCGUGCUGGUUCGCUUUAGCUCGAAAAUAUAAUUGGAAACAUAUAAUUGGAAAGAAGCUAAAGCACAUACAUCAAGCAAAGUUCGGGAGAUAAGACUGCUGAUUAAUGGAUCUCUGUGACCGGAGCGAUGGAUGGGACAAAUAAAUCAAGUGAUGAACCACCAUUAAGAGACUGGUAUGUUUGGAGUGAAAUAGAAGGGGGGUGGAGGAAAAAUCUUUUCUUUUCUUUGCCUUAUGUGAAUAUUAAUAACCCUCCACCCCAAAGAAAGAAGAUCGUUGCAUUUUAUUAAUCACAAGCAGGAAUUCAAGAACUGUGUGGAGUGGAUUAUAGAUUAAAGAGAUGACUGGUAAACAACGGAGAAUGGAGGAAAUUUUUAUGACGCAGCUUUAAAUGGCGUCUCGCUAAGACAGGCUUGUCUGAGAAAGACGGGGGGAGGAGGAUCAGGAUCAUCGGAAUGUGAAUGAUGAUUGGAAUGUGAUCUUAACUUGACAGAGCCCUCCUGAUAUACUUGGCAAGCCUGAGAAAAUUAAAGGACAGACCGAAGAUAAUUUUUUUAUGGAAGUGUGGAAUGGCUGUCCCUAAGUGAUAUGGUCUUUGGAGAGUGUAAAACCCACACAGAGGAUGUCUGUUUCCAACCCGCUUGUGAAGAUUAUCAGAGAUCACAAAGAAAGGAAUAUAUGAUAACAACAAGAAGAUGAAGAAAGUAAUAAAGAGACUAUCUGGAUAGAACUGGAUAGAACUGUUUAAUUAAAGCAGCAAUAUAAGUGAUGCUUGGACCCCGUUCGGAGCUUGAUGUAUGGGUACCCCCAACAAAAUUUAAAAAUCUGGCUGUAUAAUUUGGAACUAAUGUGAUUUGGAAAUAAUGUGAUUUGAUUGACCC